rnacentral:rRNA from 1 species
UACGAAGGGGGCUAGCGUUGUUCGGAAUUACUGGGCGUAAAGCGCGCGUAGGCGGUGAUCUUUGUCAGAGGUGAAAGCCCGGGGCUCAACUCCGGAAUUGCCUUUGAAACGGGAUCGCUUGAGUCCGAGAGAGGAUGGCGGAAUUCCUAGUGUAGAGGUGAAAUUCGUAGAUAUUAGGAAGAACACCGGUGGCGAAGGCGGCCAUCUGGCUCGGUACUGACGCUCAGGCGCGAAAGCGUGGGGAGCAGACAGG